GGACCAUUAACUCAGUUGGUAGAGUAGCUGACUCUUAAUCAGAAUGUCCACGGUUCGAGUCCGUGAUGGUCCACCA
rnacentral:tRNA from 1 species